GAUGAACGCUGGCGGCGUGCUUAACACAUGCAAGUCGAACGGAAAGGCUCCUGCUUGCCGGGGUACUCGAGUGGCGAACGGGUGAGUAACACGUGGGUGAUCUGCCCUGCACUUCGGGAUAAGCCUGGGAAACUGGGUCUAAUACCGGAUAGGACCACAUUUUGGAUGGUGUGGUGGAAAGUUUUUCGGUGUGGGAUGAGCUCGCGGCCUAUCAGCUUGUUGGUGGGGUAAUGGCCUACCAAGGCGUCGACGGGUAGCCGGCCUGAGAGGGUGUACGGCCACAUUGGGACUGAGAUACGGCCCAGACGCCUACGGGAGGCAGCAGUGGGGAAUAUUGCACAAUGGGCGCAAGCCUGAUGCAGCGACGCCGCGUGGGGGAUGACGGCCUUCGGGUUGUAAACUCCUUUCGCUAGGGACGAAGCGCAAGUGACGGUACCUGGAGAAGAAGCACCGGCUAACUACGUG
rnacentral:rRNA from 1 species